rnacentral:lncRNA from 1 species
GCCGGGGACCAACGGUUCGGUUUUAGGUCUUAUGUUGUGUUAGUGUGUGUUGUGUUUUGUCUUGUGUUGUGAGUGUGAUGUUCUGUUUUGUGUGUGAGUUCUUGUGUGUAUGCGUGUCGCAUGUUUAAUUGUUGUGUGUUUUGUUUGUUUCGUAAUUUUUAGCAUUUCCAUUCUUCCACUUUCCCCCUUCUUUCUUUCUACAUGUCCACCUAUCUUGAUUUUGUGAAUACUGCUUCUU